AUUAGUUUUUUAAUUGAAGGCUAGAAUGAAGGGUUGGACAAGAAAUAAUCUGUCUUAAAUUAACAUAUUGAAUUUAACUUUUAAGUGAAAAGGCUUAAAUGAUCUGAAGGGACGAUAAGACCCUAUAAAACUUUAUUUUUGUAAGGUAAGUAGUAAGUUUUAUUUUAAAAUAUUAUUUUAUGAAUAUUUGGUUGGGGCGACAAGGAUAAAAAAAAUAACUGUCUUUUUUUUUUUACAGUGAUGUCUGGUUUUAUGAUCCUAAAAGGGAUUUAAAGAUUAAGUUACUUUAGGGAUAACAGCGUAAUUUUCUUUAAGAGUUCUUAUCGACAAGAGAGUUUGCGACCUCGAUGUUGAAUUAAAAGUUCUUUAUAGAGUAGAGACUAUAAGAGAAGGUCUGUUCGACCUUUAAAAUUUUACAUGAUUUGAG
rnacentral:rRNA from 1 species